rnacentral:rRNA from 1 species
UGGGGAAUAUUGCACAAUGGGCGCAAGCCUGAUGCAGCCAUGCCGCGUGUAUGAAGAAGGCCUUCGGGUUGUAAAGUACUUUUAGCGGGGAGGAAGGUGUUGAGGUUAAUAACCUCAGCAAUUGACGUUACCCGCAGAAGAAGCACCGGCUAACUCCGUGCCAGCAGCCGCGGUAAUACGGAGGGUGCAAGCGUUAAUCGGAAUUACUGGGCGUAAAGCGCACGCAGGCGGUCUGUCAAGUCGGAUGUGAAAUCCCCGGGCUCAACCUGGGAACUGCAUUCGAAACUGGCAGGCUAGAGUCUUGUAGAGGGGGGUAGAAUUCCAGGUGUAGCGGUGAAAUGCGUAGAGAUCUGGAGGAAUACCGGUGGCGAAGGCGGCCCCCUGGACAAAGACUGACGCUCAGGUGCGAAAGCGUGGGGAGCAAACA